rnacentral:rRNA from 1 species
ACUCAAAUGAAUUGACGGGGGCCCGCACAAGCGGUGGAGCAUGUGGUUCAAUUCGACGCAACGCGAAGAACCUUACCUGGGCUCGAAGCGCAGUGGAUCGGGGUGGAAACAUCCUUUCCCGCAAGGGCUGCUGCGUAGGUGCUGCAUGGCUGUCGUCAGCUCGUGUCGUGAGAUGUUGGGUUAAGUCCCGCAACGAGCGCAACCCUUAUUGCCAGUUGCCCACGGGUUAAGCCGGGCACUCUGGCGAAACUGCCCCGGAUAACGGGGAGGAAGGUGGGGAUGACGUCAAGUCCUCAUGGCCUUUAUGUCCAGGGCUACACACGUGCUACAAUGGCCGAUACAAACCGUCGCAAACUCGCGAGAGUGAGCUAAUCGGAUAAAGUCGGCCUCAGUUCGGAUUGGAGUCUGCAACUCGACUCCAUGAAGCUGGAAUCGCUAGUAAUCGCGGAUCAGAACGCUGCGGUGAAUACGUUCCCGGGCCUUGCACACACCGCCCGU